UAUAGUAUGUGAGAUCCUUCCUGCAUCGCCGCCAAGGAUCUUCUUCGUCUUGCUUUGUUAUUCGAUCUAGUCUUAGAUUUUCGUUUAUAUUAUUCAUUCAUUGUUCAAUUAGGUUAAGGCUUAAUUAGUGUAGUGUUAUUGCCUAAAUUGAUUACAACAACCUUUUUUGAGUUAGGAUUAUAACUUAAAAGUAUGGUACAGAGAGAGAGAGACAGAGAGAGAGCAGAUGAUGGGAUACACUUGAUCUCUGAACUUCACAGGUAAGUUUGCUUGUUGAUAACUACUGGUUUUGCUGAUGCUCUCUCUCUCUCUCUCUCACACACUCUCUGCACCUGAUUCUUUUAUUCCUGAGAUUGCUCCAUGUGAGACGUUGCUGUGAUUAACAAUCAGGUAGUCAGAGUGGAGCAAGUGCGUGAGUGACAUGAUUCAGAAUGAGCUAAGCACCAAUUGCUGCAUUUGGGAGAUGAAGCAUAAUAAUAAUCUCUGCAGUUCUGCAUUAGGUUACAUUCAUUCAAGUUCUAGAUAUGAAUUUAAUCAACUGAUGUAGUAUAUGAUAUCAGUGUUUUGAAAAGUUGUAUGUUUAACCCUGAAAGCUUGUUGAUUCAUGAAGUAACUAUGGUUGAUGUUUAUACAAGAAUGAAUCAAUUAUACAUACAAAUUUCUUAA